rnacentral:rRNA from 1 species
GAUGAACGCUGGCGGCGUGCCUAAUACAUGCAAGUCGAGCGAACGGACGAGAAGCUUGCUUUUCUGAUGUUAGCGGCGGACGGGUGAGUAACACGUGGAUAACCUACCUAUAAGACUGGGAUAACUUCGGGAAACCGGAGCUAAUACCGGAUAAUAUUUUGAACCGCAUGGUUCAAAAGUGAAAGACGGUCUUGCUGUCACUUAUAGAUGGAUCCGCGCUGCAUUAGCUAGUUGGUAAGGUAACGGCUUACCAAGGCAACGAUGCAUAGCCGACCUGAGAGGGUGAUCGGCCACACUGGAACUGAGACACGGUCCAGACUCCUACGGGAGGCAGCAGUAGGGAAUCUUCCGCAAUGGGCGAAAGCCUGACGGAGCAACGCCGCGUGAGUGAUGAAGGUCUUCGGAUCGUAAAACUCUGUUAUUGGGGAAGAACAUAUGUGUAAGUAACUGUGCACAUCUUGAUGGUACCUAAUCAGAAAGCCACGGCUAACUACGUG